UGCUCCUUUGAAGUUAGCGGCGGACGGGUGAGUAACACGUGGGUAACCUACCUAUAAGACUGGAAUAACUUCGGGAAACCGGAGCUAAUGCCGGAUAACAUAUAGAACCGCAUGGUUCUAUAGUGAAAGAUGGUUUUGCUAUCACUUAUAGAUGGACCCGCGCUGUAUUAGCUAGUUGGUAAGGUAAUGGCUUACCAAGGCGACGAUACAUAGCCGACCUGAGAGGGUGAUCGGCCACACUGGAACUGAGACACGGUCCAGACUCCUACGGGAGGCAGCAGUAGGGAAUCUUCCGCAAUGGGCGAAAGCCUGACGGAGCAACGCCGCGUGAGUGAUGAAGGUUUUCGGAUCGUAAAACUCUGUUAUUAGGGAAGAACAAAUGCGUAAGUAACUGUGCGCAUCUUGACGGUACCUAAU
rnacentral:rRNA from 1 species